GUGUGACCGUUUUCGGCAGCACAUAUACUAAAAUUGGAACUAUACAGAGAAGAUUACCAUGGCCCCUGUGCAAGGAUGACACUCAAAUUCAUGAAGGUUCCCAUAUUUAA